rnacentral:rRNA from 1 species
UACGGGGGGAGCAAGCGUUGUUCGGAUUUACUGGGCGUAAAGGGCGCGUAGGCGGCCACCGCAAGUCGACUGUGAAAUCUCCGGGCUUAACUCGGAAAGGUCAGCCGAUACUGCGGGGCUAGAGUGCAGAAGGGGCAACUGGAGUUCUCGGUGUAGCGGUGAAAUGCGUAGAUAUCGAGAGGAACACCUGCGGCGAAGGCGGGUUGCUGGGCUGACACUGACGCUGAGGCGCGAAAGCUAGGGGAGCGAACAGG